AACGAACGCUGGCGGCAGGCUUAACACAUGCAAGUCGAGCGCCCUGCAAGGGGAGCGGCAGACGGGUGAGUAACGCGUGGGAACCUACCUGAAGGUACGGAACAACUCCGGGAAACUGGAGCUAAUACCGUAUGUGCCCGAGAGGGGAAAGAUUCAUCGCCUUCAGAUGGGCCCGCGUCAGAUUAGCUAGUUGGUGAGGUAAUGGCUCACCAAGGCGACGAUCUGUAGCUGGCUGAGAGGAUGACCAGCCACACUGGGACUGAGACACGGCCCAGACUCCUACGGGAGGCAGCAGGUGGGGAAUAUUGGACAAUGGGCGCAAGCCUGAUCCAGCCAUGCCGCGUGAGUGAUGACGGCCUUAGGGUUGUAAAGCUCUUUCGCUCGCGACGAUAAUGACGGUAGCGAGAGAAG
rnacentral:rRNA from 1 species